rnacentral:rRNA from 1 species
CCAAGGAAGGCAGCAGGCGCGCAAAUUACCCACUCCCAGCACGGGGAGGUAGUGACGAAAAAUAACAAUACGGGACUCUUUCGAGACCCCGUAAUUGGAAUGAGUACAGCUUAAAUCCUUUAACGACGACCCAUUGGAGAUAAAGUCUGGUGCCAGCAUUCGCGGUAACUCCAGCUCCAAUAGCGUAUAUUAAAGUUGUUGCGGUUAAAAAGCUCGUAGUUGGAUCUCAGUUUGCGCGGGGGCGGUCCGACAACCGUCGGCCACUGCUCUCGCGCGACCGUGCCGCCGGUUUCCUGGGAUGAUCUUGACCGGUUGUCUCGGGUGACCGGCAAGUUUACUUUGAAAAAAUUAGAGUGCUCAAAGCAGGCUCGGACGCCUGGACAAUGGUGCAUGGAAUAAUGGAAUAGGACCUCGGUUCUAUUUUGUUGGUUUAUACGAACGUCGAGGUAAUGAUUAAGAGGGACAGACGGGGGCAUUCGUAUUGCGACGCUAGAGGUGAAAUUCUUGGACCGCCGCACGACGAACUACUGCGAAAGCAUUUGCCAAGGAUGUUUUCAUUAAUCAAGAACGAAAGUCAGAGGUGCGAAGGCGAUCAGAUACCGCCCUAGUUCUGACCAUAAACGAUGCCAGCCAGCGAUCCGGCUGCGUUGCUUGUAUGACGCGCCGGGCAGCUUCCGGGAAACCAAAGCUUUUGGGUUCCGGGGGGAGUAUGGUUGCAAAACUGGAACUUAAAGGAAUUGACGGAAGCGCACACAAGAAAUGGGGCCUGCGGCUUAAUUUGACUCAACACGGUGCAACUCAUCCGGUCCGGACACAGGAAGGAUUGACAGAU